UAGGGUUCUUGGCUUGGCUAUGGUCGUGACCGGCGUGCGGGCGUGCGGAUUGUGCGUGCAUGCGUGCGCCAUGGCGAGGCAGCGCCAGCGCCAGCGCCAGGGCAGGGAUUUCCUCGGCGAGAGGGGAAAAUUCCCUCUUUCUCCUCUCUCUCUCUUUUCUCUCCUCUCUCUCUCUCUCUCUCCCUCUCUCUCUCUCUCCCCUUUCUCUCGCUGGCUGUGCUUGCUGCGGGGGACAGAUUUCCAGGGAGCGCAUUCAUUGAUUUCCAUGUCGUAGUAGUAUGCGCGUGUGUGUGCGUGCUGGGCAGGAGCUAAGAUGUAUAGGCGAGAGAGAGGGAGCUCCAGGCCUCCCAGGAGAGGCUACAACUGCUUUUUCUCCUUGAUCUCUGUGUGCUUGUCGCAAAUCCAUGGCCAGGGAGGAGGAAAUCCCAAAUUCACACCCAAUUCUUCUAAUCCCAGAGCCGGUCCAGCCAGGGGCUGAUUCAAAUCCGCCUCUCUUUGAUUUUCUCUCCUUUAUUUUUUUUCUCUCCUGUGGACUGCCAAGGAAGAGCUAGCCCUGUCUCUAGCAAAGCUGCAGUGGUGUGAGUCGCAGCAGCUAUUUAAACGUGCGCUGCUCGUUCUCGUUUCUUUGACGAUUGUCACUUCCGUUUCAUUCCUCUUGCGUGGUUCUCGUCCGUUCUCGUGCUUGCGAUUUUGGUGUGAGCUUGCAUUGCAUCAUCCUCUUCGUUCGUCCUAGUGAUUCGAGUUUCCUACACGCUCUCUCUUUUCGUCAGGAAGGAGUGUGUGAGACCCAAGAGCUCGCAGCUCGUGAUCUUCGCUUUGUCGCGAACAAUUUAAAGUUUGUGAGAUGUCACGGCUCUCGAGCAAGUCCGACUACUCUAGAUAUCUAGGAGAGAACCGAAGAAUCACUGCCAAGUUUACUCAUUUCAAAGAAUCCUCUCAUGCUUUUCCACGGCUUUCUUGAACCUGGUGCUCUUCCAAGGCAGGAGGAUCAGAAAACGUUGUGGUAUUUCUCAUCUCCUCGUCUCGUCCUUGGUCUCCCCUUGAAAGAAACUCACCAGUAAGAGUACGAAGUUCAAGAAAGCUGUGGGAAACAAUGGCCGGAUUCAGAAGCUUGUGAAUCAUUUCGACGCUAUAGCCGUGAUCUCUACUCCAUUUUUUUGUGUGCAUCUUUAGCUCGUGAUCAUUGAAUCGUCAUACUAAUCCCACUUGUGGUCUUGCUGUGAUUGCAGCCAGCGAGAGCAAAGCUUCCAAGUCCCGCGAUUCAACUUGGAGCAAGGAACUCGCAAAAGCUCUCGAGAUCUUCUGACGAUCACCGACGAGAGAGAAGUGUCACCUUGGCCAGGUAGAAUUCGACAUCGCCACUACAACUAUACGUGUACUUGUAGGUAUUUUCUCGCUUGCACUAGUUACUAGACUAACAAAAGCUGCUCGCUCGAUUCGUAUGUCGUUUUCACGCUUGGAGUGGGCUGCGCGAUGGUUAACUUGUGUAGACUGAUAGAUAUAUGGCUUUGCUUUCCUUUCCCGUGCUCGCUCCGCCAAAAGGAUGGAUUUUCGCAGGCACCGUCUGCCGGAACAAAGACUGGAGCCCGGUCUGAGCGAUGGAGCGUACAGUAAUCAGUGCUCGCGUCUCCAAAUCAUCAGGUAUCUAAGUUUGCGUUUACACUCUCCUUGUAUUCUCGGACGAAAACUUCUCGUCGUGUUUCUAACUUUUUUCGUGGUCUUUGGGAAGGCCAGACGUUCUUAAGUUGGGAUCCAGGACACUUGCUGGUGGCACUGAUGCUUUUAGUGCGCACCGUUUUGGAAGAGAAAGGAGAGAUCCCUCUGCGAGGCGCUAGUACCGCGUACAGUGAGGUUUGUGGAGACUUCUUUUCUUUUCUAGAGGGCGAGAGACUCGGAGAGAAAUCAUGAAGCAUGACGCUGGCUACGAAUGAUGACGACGCUGCUGGUAUUAGUUCUCUUUUUUUUUUCUACUGAGCUCGCAGUGGCACAGUUUGAUCGAUCAAAAAGCAGGCUUUUGUGAAGUUUUCGUGAGUAGAGCUCACGCAAAUCUGUAAAACUAUGUAACAUGGAGAGCUUUUGUGAAGUAGAGCUCACGCAAAUCUACGUUCUGGGCUGAAAAAACUCAAGAACUUCGUAGAUCAUCAUGUUAAACAGAGAUAAAUCGAAAGUCCUCUUUGAUUCAAUCGAAAAAA